GGAGAGUUACCGAAGUGGUCACAACGGGGCGGUCUUGAAAACCGUUAGACGGCAACGUCACAGGGGUUCGAAUCCCUUACUCUCCG
rnacentral:tRNA from 1 species